UCCUAUGGAUGAGCAAAAGAAAGUGGCUUCUUGAGAUGGAAUCUGCUCUUGAUGAAGAUGUUGUGAA
rnacentral:pre_miRNA from 1 species